GUUUCUUCGUUUAUUAAAUAAAUGAACAUAAACGAACUUCAGGCCGAACAAGUUUGUGAAUGUUCGAUUCAUUUACCGGCCUACACCCAAAGUAUAUUUUUAAAGCUGCGACCUUUUGAACUGCUACUGCGCACUAUUUGUAACCAGCAUCAUCCGUGAUCCCACCUGAACCAGAAGAAACCUGUGUGAAAUUCGAGCACAUCUUCUUAAUCUAUUUGUAUACGUUGGUUGCAGGGUAUGAGAAGAAGCUGAAAUCACAGGCUUCACAGUUUUGAUCGUCAUUCACUUGAAGAAACAUAACAAAUUGAAUGAGUAGUGGGCUAAAGUAGUCGAGGUCACCGACACAAAAGACGAGUAGCAUGAAAUGGCGAACUACGGCUGCCUGCACUGAUCAGGAGGGAAAAUGAAGUCCGAUAAUCAAGCGCAACCGAGUUCGAAGAAGAAAGAAAAAAAACGCAGCAGCUUUUACUUGUUUAUUUAUUAGUUUAAUAGGUCAAACAAUUUACUGUUUAUGUUUUAUUUGUCUAGAAUUUGGGCCUGAGGCCAUGUUAUGUAGUUAAUGGGUCAAGACACUAGAAGUCCAUUAGGUUUAGUUGUUGGGUUAUGAAGUUUGGGCCUAAUAUAUGCGAACAGACGUGACUUUGACAUAACCGCACAUACGGUUAUUUUUAGGCUCGAGCUUGUUUAAGCUCAACUUGAUUAAGCUUUUAGCAAAUCGA